CAGCCAAAUCCCUGCCUUACUGACCUCUCCCCUGGAGGAGCAGGAGCAGCGCUCAAGGCCGCCUUGGGAGGGCUGAGAGGCAGGCUCUGGACUGGGGACACAGGGAUAGCUGAGCCCCAGCUGGGGGUGGAAGCUGAGCCAGAGACAGUCACAGAGGAACAAGAUCAAGAUGCGCUUUAACUGAGAAGCCCCCAAGGCAGAGGCUGAGAAUCAGAAGACAUUUCAGCAGACAUCUACAAAUCUGAAGGACAAAACAUGGUUCAAGCAUCUGGGCACAGGCGAACAUACAUAUGAUAGUUGAGAAAGACACAUAUUCUGAUCAUGAAGAAAUAAACACAAGUUAAAUAUGACUAAGCAGAAAGAUGGAAGGACCAGGAACGGUGAUGCUAACUUGGAACCACGAUGCAGGCUCUAAUCUCCUCUACAAUCAUCCUCCCUUGUGAGAAAAAUACAUAAGAUCUAAGGCACAUGAGAUGAUACGCUUUCUGUUUGAGUUUCUCCUUUAUGUUACGCAUACUGAUAAAAUUGUUGACGCCAGUUGAUCUGAAGGUCCCAGCAAGGAGCCGACUCACAGAAGAAUGCAGUUUUCACAUUGGAGGAUGAUUGUAGAGGAGUUUAGAGCCUGCAUCGUGGUUCCAAGUUAGCAUCACCAUUCCUGGUCCUUCCAUCUUUCUGCUUAGUCAUAUUUAACUUGUGUUUAUUUCUUCAUGAUCAGAAUAUGUGUCUUUCUCAACUAUCAUAUGUAUGUUCUAGAAUGUUCAGUCACUGCAGUAAAGGACACUGGUACAAUCCAGCCUGUGGGAAGAAAAGCAAUCAAUUGAGCAAUUAC
rnacentral:lncRNA from 1 species